UAAUUCUACUAUUAUUAAGUAAGUUUUUUUUUUUAAUUCUUAAGUUUUAAUAUUAAAUAUUUAAUGGGAUGAGCUUUUAUUUAUAUUUUUAUAAUAUAUAAAAUUUUAUAAUGUUUUGUAUAAUUUGAAUUGUUAAUCAUUAAUAAAUUAAUAUUUAGGUAUUUUUAUUAAAAGAUUUUUUUGUAUUUAAUUUUUUUAUUAAAAUAAAGCAUUUAAUUUUAAUUGUUUAAAAUUAUGAUAAAAUUAGUAAUAAUAAUUUAAUUUUGUUUUAUUUUGCAAGGUUAAUAAAAGGAAUUCGGCAAAUUUAUUUUCUGCCUGUUUAUUAAAAACAUGUUCUUUUGAUAAUAAUUUAAGGUCUAAUCUGCUCAAUGAGGAGUUAAAUAGCCGCAGUAUUUUGACUGUGCGAAGGUAGCAUAAUAAUUAGUCUCUUGAUUGGGGACUUGUAUGAAUGAUUGAACAAGAAAAUUUCUGUCUCUUUUUAAUUUUUAUUUGAAUUUAAUUUUUGAGUUAAAAUGCUCAAAUAUUUAUAAAAGACGAGAAGACCCCAUAGAGUUUUAUUUUUAUUUAUUUUUAGUAUAAUAAUUUUAAGGAAAAAUUAGUUGGGGUGACUAGAAGAUUUAAUAAACUCUUUAAAUUAAAAUCAUUGAUUUAUGAAUAUUAAGUCUAAUUUUUUAAGUUUAAAUUAAAUUACCUUGGGGAUAACAGCGUAAUUUCUUUUUAGAGUUCUUAUCAAAUAAGAAGAUUGCGACCUCGAUGUUGGAUUAAAAUUUAUUUUGGGUGUAGAAGCUUAAAAAUUAAGUCUGUUCGA
rnacentral:rRNA from 1 species